AACAACUCACCUGCCGAAGCAACUAGCCCUGAAAAUGGAUGGCGCUCUAGCGUCGUGCCUAUACCGGGCCGUCAACGGCAAAGUGGGACGCUGCCCGGCCGGUUUACGCCGUCCGGCUCGUCCGUUAAGCCUUGACGAGUAGGAGGCGCGCGGCGGUGUGCGCAGAAGGGUCUGGGCGUGAGCCUGCCUGGAGCCGCCGUCGGUGCAGAUCUUGGUGGUAGUAGCAAAUACUCUAGCGAGGGCCUGGAGGGCUGAUGUGGAGAAGGGUUUCUUGUGAACAGCCGUUGCACAAGAGUCAGUCGACCCUAAGCCCUAGGAGAAAUCCGAUGUUGAUGGGUAGCGAUCACUGGUCUGACUGCUCCCGUCGGGCGAAAGGGAAUCCGGUUCCUAUUCCGGAACCCGGCUGCGGAACCGUCACUUCGCGGGCACUCGCCUGCGAGCGCUCGUCGGGGUAACCCAAAAUGACCCGGAGACGCCGGCGGGAGGUCUGGAAAGAGUUGUCUUUUCUUUAUAAGCGUUCGAGUUCCCUGGAAUCCUAUAGCAGGGAGAUAGGGUUUGGAACGCGAAGAGCACCGCAGUUGCGGCGGUGUCCGGACCUUCCCCCCGGACCUUGAAAAUCCGGGUGAGGGCUACGCGGAAUGUCGCGCCGGCUCGUACCCAUAUCCGCAGCAGGUCUCCAAGGUUAAGAGCCUCUAGUCGAUAGAAUAAUGUAGGUAAGGGAAGUCGGCAAAU
rnacentral:rRNA from 1 species